rnacentral:rRNA from 1 species
UCGAGGAUUUUUCACAAUGGGCGCAAGCCUGAUGGAGCGACGCCGCGUGGGGGAUGAAUGGCUUCGGCCCGUAAACCCCUGUCAUUUGCGAUCAAACCUUGCUAUUUAAAAGAUGGCGAGCUGAUAGUAGCGAAAGAGGAAGGGACGGCUAACUCUGUGCCAGCAGCCGCGGUAAUACAGAGGUCCCAAGCGUUGUUCGGAUUCACUGGGCGUAAAGGGUGCGGAGGUGGUGGGGUAAGUCGGAUGUGAAAUCUCGGAGCUCAACUCCGAAAUGGCAUUGGAAACUACCCUGCUAGAGGGUCGGAGGGGGGACUGCAAUUCUCGGUGUAGCAGUGAAAUGCGUAGAUAUCGAGAGGAACACCAGUGGCGAAGGCGAGUCCCUGGACGACUCCUGACACUGAGGCACGAAAGCUAGGGGAGCAA